GACGGAGGAUGCAAGUGUUAUCCGGAAUCACUGGGCGUAAAGCGUCUGUAGGUGGUCAAAUAAGUCAACUGUUAAAUCUUGAGGCUCAACCUCAAAAUCGCAGUCGAAACUAUUAGACUAGAGUAUAGUAGGGGUAAAGGGAAUUUCCAGUGGAGCGGUGAAAUGCGUAGAGAUUGGAAAGAACACCGAUGGCGAAGGCACUUUACUGGGCUAUUACUAACACUCAGAGACGAAAGCUAGGGUAGCAAAUAGGG
rnacentral:rRNA from 1 species